rnacentral:rRNA from 1 species
AUGAACGCUGGCGGCGUGCCUAAUACAUGCACGUCGAGCGAACAGACGAGGAGCUUGCUCCUCUGACGUUAGCGGCGGACGGGUGAGUAACACGUGGAUAACCUACCUAUAAGACUGGGAUAACUUCGGGAAACCGGAGCUAAUACCGGAUAACAUGUUGAACCGCAUGGUUCAACAGUGAAAGACGGUCUUGCUGUCACUUAUAGAUGGAUCCGCGCCGCAUUAGCUAGUUGGUAAGGUAACGGCUUACCAAGGCAACGAUGCGUAGCCGACCUGAGAGGGUGAUCGGCCACACUGGAACUGAGACACGGUCCAGACUCCUACGGGAGGCAGCAGUAGGGAAUCUUCCGCAAUGGGCGAAAGCCUGACGGAGCAACGCCGCGUGAGUGAAGAAGGUCUUCGGAUCGUAAAACUCUGUUAUUAGGGAAGAACAAAUGUGUAAGUAACUAUGCACGUCUUGACGGUACCUAAUCAGAAAGCCACGGCUAACUACGUG